GUUAGCACUCUAGGCGCCAUCAACGCGUGAUUUUAAAAUGGUGGGCGCGUUUCAGUUGCGGUUGAUGAACAGAAACUUUUCUUACGUUUUCUGAUUGUGAAAAAACGGAUUGUGCUGUAUUUAUUCUAAUAAUAUGUUGCGUAGGUUUAAUGUAUUGUGUGUGCAGUGGCUGAAAGUGGCAAGCCGAGGCGUACUACAACUGGACAGGAUAUCAUGCAUCGACACAAUGGGAACUGUGCCUGGCAGACAGAAGGCCACCACUCGUAGCAGUUCUGGCAUACCCUCAAGUGGCCACAACAUGCCUGUUACCCACAACAAGACAGUGCUGCUUGCCCCUCAUUCAUGAAUAUGGCCAAAGGACGAG